rnacentral:lncRNA from 1 species
CAAUAUGCAUGGAGAAAGAACAACAGCACAGCAGGAUCGAAAAUCAACGGCUUGACAUGAAUUAAAGAAGGUUCAGGCCGCUCAUUAACACUUACCUUAAUUAGGGGAUUUUCUUUCACUUCUUUUCAUUUCUAGAUAUGAUUGCCCGUGCUGUGCACGGGCCAAAAGGUACAUCAACACGUCAAAUGUAGGCACUAAAAUUCUAUUCACUCUAGUGAACUAUUUCUUUAUAAUUUAAUACAAUGAAGAAAAAUUGCAAAUGUCUCUAUGAUGCUCAGACGUGUCUUUCUCAUCCAAACACACCCAUGCUUGAAUUAAAUCACCACAUUUGCUUUCCAAAAGGCCGACUGAUAAUUUCAGAAAUGCUCAGUUGAAUAGUUUCAUAGACUGAGAACCUAGUCCAUCUGCUACAUAUAAACGCGUCAACCCCGUUGGCAGUGCUAUCACUGAAUUGGAUAUCAAGGAUACCAAAUCACACCAUUUUGUCUUUGUCUCCUGGUGGGAUAAAUCGAGCAUUAAAUAGAAUCCAAAAUCCCAGAAACACUUUCAGAAAUGGGAACAGUUGAAGUUCUUCCCCUUACGUUCAUAAUAUGGCCUGGUAGAAAAGCCUGUAAUUGGCCACGUUUGGCUUGCGCCAUUGUUCAAAGUCUUCCAUAGUGUUUUUAAUCAGUGAUCAAAGUCUUCCUUAUGACAUCAAUCACCACUGUUACUUCUGUCUUAGGCUGUAUCACUGGCGAGUAGUAGCAUUUUUAUGAAUAUGUCUUUAAAUCCAGCUAUGGACCCAUCAAAACAAAAAACUUUUGGUUAUGCUUCUCACUUCCAUGCCUACAACUAGCUCACCACUCACCACCUAAGAAACCCUCUUGUCACCAGACUGUACUGGAUAUCCAACAGUUAAAAUAAGAAAAUUUUAUUGAAAUUAGUAUAGGACAUCAAUGAGAAACUCCAAUGAACAUAAAAAGCGGAUGCAAUGCAAUAACCUUCAAGGAAUAUCAAAAUAUAUGUUAUGCCUUUUGUGAAUACCAAAUACAAAACAAGGAAAGAGAGAAAACGAGCAAUCUUCACCAGUAAAAAUAUAAAAUUAAGCAAAAGUAAUUGAUGAAAAUAAGUUGAGAAGAUGUUAGUGUUUGAUUCAAACUUGUACAAAUUUCUGAGAGGACAUUCAAAUUUCUUGUUGAAUGCAAAAGGAGGAAUACAGUUUAUAAUGCACUCAACUUUUCCUUCACCAUUUUACACUUACAUUCAGCAGUUCUGCAAAUCUAAAUUUCUGAGGUAAAAUAUUAAAUUCGUUUGUAAUGGCACAACCCCAUUAACAUGAAUUACUGUAAUAUUAUCACUUGUUUGCUUCAUCAAAUAACAACUUUCUUGCAAUUGCAACAUCAUAUGUAUCGUUUGUGUUACUGCUUUAUUCUCUCUCCCAUCUUCAUUUUACUUCUACCGAAUUUAUAUAUUACCUCUCAUUGAAUUAAAAGCUAUUAAAUAAAGUGCCAAAGGACUAAUAAGUACCGGAAAAAGAAUAAGACAGAAUCUAACAAGCCAGAAAAAAUAAACUUGAUCUCAACUUCUUUAGUAUCCUAACAUUGCAUAACAGAUGAAUAGAUCUAAAGCAAGGAUAAUACCUACUCCACUACCCUGAAGCCCCAGCUAAUCUCAAAUUUGACUUAAAAGAUAACGGAAGAACACCUUCAGAUCAAUUUUGUGGAUGCAUGUGCUCCAAAGUAUUUCAAUUUGUGUUAAAUCUGUCAAUAUUUAGAUUUAACCACACACUACGCAAAUAUUAAGGUUUAAAGUACUCCAAAGUAAAUCAUAUAUUAAGAUCAACAUUUUGCUUCAAGUGAGAUCAGAAAAGUUUAAAUCAUUUAUUAUUUUGUUCAUAUUAAAAUAAUUAUUUUUUCAGCAAAAAAACUUAUUGCACCAUUUGAGAUACUUAUUUAGAACCACACAACAUCGUAGCUUUGCAUCUCUGGGAACUAUAUUAUUUUUGUGUUAAUUUCACUAACACAAAUCCAUGUCAACCCAAGCUCAUUACCAAAAAAGAAAUAAUACAAUAAAGUAAAAUCACAAGUCCGCAAAUCUAAAGUCCAAAAUUUAGAUUUAUGUUUUCUCUUUGAAAAUUAUUUGUUAUGUUUAAUUACAUAACCAAAAUAGCAACUUCUAUAUAAAGACAUGACUCAUUAAUUUGUAAAAGCUCUUUAGCAUCAAGGAACUUACCACCAGACAGGUUUGCACCCCUCUUCUGCAACAAACUGAGUUCAUGGAAGACAGAUAUGCUCAUACUGGUUAUUUUUCUGGAGAAGGAAUAGAUAAGAACUUGACCCUAGGUAAAAAAAACACACACACACACAUUUAAGUUUUAGCAGGUGAAAGAUGAAAAAAUAUAACGAUUAAAGCACAUUUUCAGUGUCUCGCUAGGAGAUAAUACCUUUGGCCUCAGAAUAUCCAAACUGGAUUUUGGCAUGCCUUCAUGAUAUGCUUCCUUUUACUGAGGCAUAUGUCGAACAUGACAAACAAACUGGAAGGAUGCAUAAACUAAGACAACAAAAUAUUUGUAAUCCAUAUUUUCUCAGUAAUCUCAAGACCAACUUAAAAGGCCGUAAAUUAGAAUAUGCAUGUAGAAAAUCGGGUAACCAAAAGGGGAAAAAUAUUUAAAAAACUGUAAGAAAGAAAAUAUAUGAAAAUGGAAGAAAAGAACUCAAAUUAACACCCAACACUAACUAACAUUUAUAUAUUGCAUCGGAACAGAGAAAAUAGUAGUGCAACAAAGAAAAUAUUGAAUUGAGAAGGGGGGAAAGAGUUGAGUCUUACAUGCAAUAAAUACGUACAAAGUUGAGUCACUUUUAACAUUAUGUCUAUGGCGGACAGCAAAAAGUGUUUGAAGACUCUUCUAAAAUUGUCUUUGAUUAUGCUUAUCAUGGACGGUUGAAAAUUAGAAGCACGAAAAGCAACCCAAAGAAAAAGGACAAAGAUAAGGAAAAAUAGAUAGAAAUAGCUAAACAACACUCUAAUAGAAGAUCGGCGGCAUUACCUAGGAGCAAAGAGAUGGUCC